CUUCAUGGUUCGAGCAUUGCAUGAUUUUGUCAUUGAACCUUUGCCAUAUUUCAUAUAAGGACUCACCACUAAAUUGAUGAAAAUUUGUCAUUUCAUCCCUUAGUUG
rnacentral:snoRNA from 1 species